GUGUCCUGGCCUGUGCUUUCCCUGCUCCCCGGUGUCCGGUUGUAACAGGGAGUCCACCAGGACACAGCAAUCUCCCUCUCAGUUUAGGAUGGCCACCCGGAGAAUGGGGCUGGCUCUUUAAGGCACGAGAGGACAAA